GACUUCUGGUUUCUAGGGUCAACUACCACUUCCAAAUCCAUCCACAAUCUUACUGCUGCUACUGCUCCAGCCUCCGGUAAGUGCUUAAUUCCAGAUUUUAUGUCCUGAAUAAGAAGAUGGGUUUUUGUAUGGAAGUGUUUUAGCCUUAUAAAGUGUGUAUCUUUCUUUACUAAAAAAAAGUUGUUUCCAAAACUAGGGUGUUUCUAAAUUAGGGCAUUUUUGGAGAGCCCCCUUUUUAAUUAACAAGAUUAUAAGAAAAAAGAGGGGUCUGGGUCUUGAAGAAUGUAUGUGUAGGUGAAGCUGAGAUAAGAAAUUAUUGAUUAUUGGGUUCUUAGUAAUUUAAAAAAAAUUAAUGGCAAAAACUAAAUUGGAAGCAGCUGUUAGGAGAUCAGUUGCACUGAUCCUGAUGAGGAACAGUGAUUAUGUGGGUGCCAAGAACAAGUUACUGGAAGCAAGGAAUAUUUUUCAAGAAGUUGAGUUUAUUGAUGAGCUGAUAACAAUAUGUGUAUAGCUGAGUUACCUGUGAGUGAAAUCGAUUGGUAUUCGGUUCUCCGGACUGAUAAAGGAGCUGAUGAGUCUGUCAUAGAGACUAUGUAAACCUGAUAGGAACCUUGGAACCUAUGAAGAGCAAGUUUCCGGGAAUCGAAUCAGCUUUGGGGCUUAUUGAUAAAGCCUAUAAUGUGCUUUCAGGUAGGCCUUGCGCUUCUGCUAAACAGCUAGAGAAGGUCGCGAAUAAUGGAAGGGAAACUAGUCAUGGAAAUUCUCUUGGAUCAAAGAGAAUUGUUAGUGAGAGUUCAAAGAGGGUAAAAAGUUUGGAUGAGGAUGAUUGCGUGAUUAUAGCUGAGACCCAAAAACUUGAUACACCCAGAGGAAAAGUUUGUACAUUAAAUAAAGUGGGAACAUCGUUGAGAAGUUCAUCUGGGAACUCAUCCCCAUUACUGAAAUCGAUGGAUCACCACCAACCAUGGCUCAACAACGGAAAGGCUGAAAAUUUUGAAUUUGGUCAGAUUUGGGCCGUUUAUGAUAAAGAAAAAAUGCCACGAAAGUAUGCGAGAAUCAACAGGAUAGAAAGUUCUUAUAAUGUGGAAACAAAUAGCACAGAGAACACAUUAUAUGUUAGGUGGCUGAGGCCUGCUCCCAUCAAUGCAGAUGAGAAAAAAUGGCAUCAAGCAGGGCUGCCUGUUUCUUGUGGUUGUUAAGAUAGUUAAAUGUAAUUUGGUAAUUUUCUCAGAUUUGGUCACUUCAUUUCAAGAAUAUCCUUACUCAAAUGAACUGGUUGAACUUUAUCCAAGAGAAGGGGAUGUAUGGGCACUUUAUAAAGAUUGGAACCCAUUUGAUUGGUGCUCUAAUCCUAAAACGAGAAAGAAAGUGGUAUUAUGGUUGCAUCUCUAGUAAGGGUGGCAGGGUAUAGAAACGUUUUUCGAAGACUCAAAAUUGAUGGGGCUGACAUCUCUGGUCUAAUUUCUCCUCGUAAUUGCGGAGUAAAGGUGCGAUCAACUGACUCGACACAAAUAGCCUGCUCCGAUACCAUAUUAGAAUACGGGCAUCCAACUCAAAACCAAUUGGUAAUGAGUGGAGAGGCCCUACUAGAUUAUAAACCGCAGGAUCUUAAAUAACCCAACCAUGUGGGACUAAUAAUCUCAACAGUUUUUCUCAUAAAAUCCCGGCAUACAAGUUCCGAGGUGACGGGAGGGGCACAUUUUCAGGUAUACUACUCAAACUCAACCCAUUCACAAUACCUGAGGAUUUAGCUGUGGACACAGUUACAGAAGAGCUACCUUCAGAAGGGAGCUUCAGUAAUGGUUCCAAGCACCCAAUAUCGAAAUCACUUCUUACGACUUCGGGUGAAACUCAAUGUUCUAGAUCUGGUGUUCUCUCCUCUGGUGGUCAAAACACCGAAGGAUUCGUUGGCAGCUCACAUCAAAGACUUGUUUCACUGAUGCCAUGUGAAGAAACGAAGAGUCGGGCUGAUGGACUAUCGAAGGAUGAAUAUACAUCAAAUAAUCUGGAAAUGGAUGGGUCAGAAAAAGAGCUGGUAGGCAACCAAACUGCUGAGAUUUACGAAGAGGAAGAGGAAGCGGCAGAAGAGACUGAUUCUGAGAGUGAGGGUGAGGGUGAGGGUGACAGUGACAGUUUAGGUGGAUUUUUGGUAAGGAGGUCUGGAAUUUCUGACUCUGGGGAUAGUUCAAGUGACUCGGAUGAUGCAGUUAAUAAGUUGGAUACUGGUCAUGUUAUGGCAAUGAUAAGAAGGAACAGAACUACUGAAUUGAAAUGGCAAACUGAAGAUGAUAUGCUAUCCUCGUUUGAAAAGGAUCCCGUCCUUUGUAUGGAGGCUGUUUGUGCUCUGCAUAGACGCCAAACAGCUGAUGGAUCAAUUAAAUUUAGUUGCUUUAGCAAGUUCGUCGCACUCAGGUGAGAAUUAGGUUUGCUCACCAAUUUCAGACGUGAAACUUCCCAUAUCAAAUUCACCCCAAUAUUGGUACUCAACCUACUGUUUAUCGACCUUGAUUGGGUUCGAUUUUCAUGAAGAUGCGAAGAUGGGAAGCUUAGCUGAUUACAACAUCGGUGCUGCAGAAAUAUACUACAGGAAGGUGAAAAUUCGAUUGAUGGUGGUAUUAUGUUUGGUUAAGAACUUCAAAAGAUACCAUAAAAUAGCCUGCUAGUUUAUAAGGCUCAGAGUAGCUUAUGCUGUUGUGGAGGUGAUGAUCGUAUUCGAGGGUGGAGGUGGAAUACAAUCUUUAGUUCAAGUUAUCCAGUUCAUGCCCAAGGUGUGCAGAAACUGAUUUGAUGCCUGUGCUUAACUUUGAACCCUCAGCAUAAUGAUAGGAGUUUAUCAAUCUGGAAUUUUCCUGCCUCUGAGUGCAUUUCGAAGAUUGAAACCUGCUUUCCUAUGCAAGAUUUGGUGUCUGAUGACAAUCAAGUAAUUUCUCAUUCCUAGGAAUCGUUGAGAAAAUUCGAGCUGUUAUUGAAGUUGGUGCGUGCCGCCGGCUUGUUGAUCUAUUGCUUUGCCCAUCUCUUAAUGUUGCUAUUCCUGCCCUCCGCACGGUUGGCAAUAUUGUUACUGGAGAUGAUUGUCAGACCGUGUGUAUCAUUAAACAUCAAGCACUUCCCUGUCUCCGAAUAUUUUUAUAAACCUUGGAACUAUGCACAAGCGUAAACUGCAGUUAGAGAAUUCUUAGGAGAUGGAAGCUUGUGCACUAAGUCAAUAACUGGUGCCUCACAGCUGGGUCUUUCGAAAUACCGCUGACAACGUUUCUUAAAGAGCAGGUCUGGCCAAAGAUACAUGUAAAAUUUUAUAUGAAUUUGUGAUUGUUCCAAACAUUAUUAGUCUGUAAUAUUUUUUUAAGUUUUAAAUGUCUAUCUGGUCGCCUCCCUUUCUAUGGAGAAACUAGUAAAUCUUGGAAUGA